rnacentral:rRNA from 1 species
UCCCGUUGAUCCUGCGGGAGAGUGCUGCUAAUGGAAUUCGACUAAGCCAUGCAAGUCUGGUCGCAAGACCGGCACCAUGCUCAGUAACACGUCGAUAACCUACCCUACGGUCAGGGAUAAGCUCGGGAAACUGAGUGUAACACCUGAUAUGGGAUGAAGACUGGAAUGUCUCUUCCUUGAAACUCGUGCCGUAGGAUGGGUCGGCGGUGGAUUAGGCUGCUGGUGGGGUAACGCCCCACCAAACCUGUGAUCCAUACGGGCCAUGAGAGUGGUAGCCCGGAGAGGGACACUGAAAUACUGGUCCCAGCCCUACGGGGUGCAGCAGGCGCGAAACCUCCACACUGUACGCAAGUGCGAUGGGGGGAUUCCAUGUGCCCAUGUUCUACAUGGGCUUUUGUCGAGACUAGACACCUCGGCGAAUAAGGGGUGGGUAAGACUGGUGCCAGCCGCCGCGGUAACACCAGCGCCCCGAGUGGUGCUCGCGUUUAUUGGGCCUAAAGCGUCCGUAGCCGGGUCGGUAAAUCCGCUGUGAAAUCGUUGCGCUCAACGUAACGGCGUGCAGCAGUAACUGCCGAUCUUGAGACCGGGAGGGGCUGGACGUAUGCUGUGGGGACCGGUAAAAUGGGAUAAUCCACAGUAGACGACCAAUGGCGAAGGCAUCCAGCCAGCACGGAUCUGACGGUGAGGGACGAAAGCCAGGGGAGCGAACCGGAUUAGAUACCCGAGUAGUCCUGGCCGUAAACGCUGCGAGCAAGGUGUUGCUCAUCCCACGUGGAUGGGCAGUGUCGAAAUGAAGAUGCUAAGCUCGCCGCCUGGGAAGUACGGUCGCAAGGCUGAAACUUUAAGGAAUUGGCGGGGGAGCACUACCAGGGGUGCGGCGUGCGGUUUAAUCUAACUCCACGCAGAGAACCUCACUAGAAGCGACGGCAGGAUGAAAGUCAGUCUGAAGGGCUUACUUGACGAGCCGAGAGGUAGUGCAUGGCCGCCGUCAGCUCGUGCCGUAAGGUGUCCAGCUAAGUCUGGUAACGAGCGAGACCUGCGCCCACAGUUGCUAGCGACGCACGCGGAUCGCGCACACUGUGGGGACUGCCUCCGUAAGGGGGAGGAAGGUGCAGGCAACGGUAGGUCUGUAUGCUCCGAAUCUUCUAGGCUACACGCGCGCAACAAUGGUCGGGCCAAUGGGCCGCAACACCGAGAGGUGAAGCUAAUCCUCGAAACCCGAUCUUGGUACAGAUUGAGGCUUGCAACCCAGCCUCAUGACGCCGGAAUCCCUAGUAAUCGGCCUUCAUCAUAUGCCGGUGAAUAUGUCCCUGCUCCUUGCACACACCGCCCGUCAAAUCAACCGAGCAGGGUUAUGGUGAAGCCAUGCUUUCUUGGUAUGGCUGAAUCCUAGCUCAGUGAGGUGGAUUAAGUCGUCACAAGGUC